rnacentral:rRNA from 1 species
GAUGAACGCUGGCGGCGUGCCUAAUACAUGCAAGUCGAGCGAACGGACGAGAAGCUUGCUUCUCUGAUGUUAGCGGCGGACGGAUGAGUAACACGUGGAUAACCUACCUAUAAGACUGGGAUAACUUCGGGAAACCGGAGCUAAUACCGGAUAAUAUUUUGAACCGCAUGGUUCAAAAGUGAAAGACGGUCUUGCUGUCACUUAUAGAUGGAUCCGCGCUGCAUUAGCUAGUUGGUAAGGUAACGGCUUACCAAGGCAACGAUGCAUAGCCGACCUGAGAGGGUGAUCGGCCACACUGGAACUGAGACACGGUCCAGACUCCUACGGGAGGCAGCAGUAGGGAAUCUUCCGCAAUGGGCGAAAGCCUGACGGAGCAACGCCGCGUGAGUGAUGAAGGUCUUCGGAUCGUAAAACUCUGUUAUUAGGGAAGAACAUAUGUGUAAGUAACUGUGCACAUCUUGACGGCACCUAAUCAGAAAGCCACGGCUAACUACGUG